UAACCUGCCCAAGAGAUCGGGAUAACACCUGGAAACAGAUGCUAAUACCGGAUAACAACAGAUGAUGCCUAUCAACUGUUUAAAAGAUGGUUCUGCUAUCACUCUUGGAUGGACCUGCGGUGCAUUAGCUAGUUGGUAAGGUAACGGCUUACCAAGGCGAUGAUGCAUAGCCGAGUUGAGAGACUGAUCGGCCACAUUGGGACUGAGACACGGCCCAAACUCCUACGGGAGGCAGCAGCC
rnacentral:rRNA from 1 species